rnacentral:rRNA from 1 species
GACGAACGCUGGCGGCGUGCUUAACACAUGCAAGUCGAACGAAGUGGCGAACGGGUGAGUAACGCGUAAUCCCCCUGCCCUUCAGCGGGGGACAACAGUUGGAAACGACUGCUAAUACCGCAUACUGAAGGAGGGGAUUGCGUGUGGUUAGCUAGGUGGAGGGGUGACGGCCCACCAAGGCGAUGAUCAGUAGCCGGUCUGAAAGGAUGAACGGCCACAUUGGGACUGAGACAGGGCCCAGACUCCUACGGGAGGCAGCAGUGGGGAAUCGUCCGCAAUGGACGAAAGUCUGACGGAGCAACGCCGCGGGAGUGAUGAAGGCCUUCGGGUUGUAAAGAUCUGUUAAUCGGGACGCGGAACCGGAAUAGAAAGCCACGGCGAACAACGUGCCAGCAGCCGCGGUAAUC